GACGUAGGGCGCGAGCGUUGUCCGGAUUUAUUGGGCGUAAAGAGCUCGUAGGCGGCUUGUUGCGUCGACUGUGAAAACCUGCAGCUUAACUGUGGGCUUGCGGUCGAUACGGGCAUCACUGGAGUUCGGCAGGGGAGACUGGAAUUCCUGGUGUAGCGGUGAAAUGCGCAGAUAUCAGGAGGAACACCGGUGGCGAAGGCGGGUCUCUGGGCCGAUACUGACGCUGAGGAGCGAAAGCGUGGGGAGCGAACAGG
rnacentral:rRNA from 1 species